rfam:Kwoniella mangroviensis CBS 10435 unplaced genomic scaffold supercont2.2, whole genome shotgun sequence.
GGGGAUGUAGCUCAUUUGGCAGAGCGCGUCAUUUGCAAUGACGAAAGUCGUAAAACAAUUGUCGAGGUACAGGGUUCAAUUCCCUGCAUCUCCA